GACGAACCGUGCGAACGUUGUUCGGAUUCACUGGGCUUAAAGGGCGCGUAGGCGGGUUCUCAAGUCGGUGGUGAAAUCUUUCGGCUCAACCGGAAAAUUGCCUUCGAUACUGGGAACCUCGAGGGAGGUAGGGGCAUGCGGAACUUCCGGUGGAGCGGUGAAAUGCGUAGAUAUCGGAAGGAACGCCGGUGGCGAAAGCGGCGUGCUGGACCUCUUCUGACGCUGAGGCGCGAAAGCCAGGGGAG
rnacentral:rRNA from 1 species